rnacentral:rRNA from 1 species
UGCCAGCCGCCGCGGUAAUACGAGGGGUCCUAGCGUUGUUCGGAAUCAUUGAGCGUAAAGCGGGUGCAGGUGGCACCGUAAGUCAGAUGUGAAAGCCCCGGGCUCAACCCGGGAAGUGCAUCUGAUACUGCGGUGCUUGAGUACGGUAGAGGAUAGUGGAAUUCCAGGUGUAGUGGUGAAAUACGUAGAGAUCUGGAGGAACAUCGGUGGCGAAGGCGGCUAUCUGGACCAGUACUGACACUCAGACCCGAAAGCGUGGGGAGCAAACAGGAUUAGAUA